UAGUUUUUCAAGAAAAUUUUUAAUUCUAAUUGUGGCGGAAAAAUGGUUGUGCGUUUGCUUGUUGUUUUAUAUAUAUUUUGUCCAAUAAACGAAGACACAAGGCAUCCUGGACGUCAGGAGGCUGUUAUUUUGUUUCCGCACUAAGAAGGAAUUCAGUGGAAAAUAUGUUGGGAAGCCUUCUUUGGAUAUAAGAUUUGAAGCAGCGGUGGCUUCGAUCUCAAAUUUUGUCACAAACCAGUAGUUGGAAUCAUAUUCCCAUACAAAUUGCGAAAAGCCACUCCGUUUACAUUCAAUUCAUGGAGGAGAAGGAAAGUGCAUUUUUCCGUUGGCUACCUGUUGGGGAUGAUUUCGUUAUCGUAAAAUGAGCUGCGCCCAUUCAUAAAAACCUGUAUGUAAAAUAUUGAAAAUGCAUUAUAUGAAUAGGUGUUCACUGAUCUAUUUGUGUCACUCAAUAAGUUCAGACAAAAUUGAAUAACGGCAAGGCAUUUUCCAUAGAAGUUAUUGAAUACAAUACAACAUGCCGUUUAAGAAGAGCUCUUUUAACAGUGAAACUUCAACAAAGAACCUAGCCCUGUUUCAAGGAUCAUCAAGAAGAUGUAACGUCUCUAAUGUUAAUGGACCAUUAAGUGAACGGAAUCGAGUGUCCCUGAAAAAUCACGCAAUUGGACGCUUCUUAAGCCCUCUACCAAAGAACGGAGAGAGAGGAUCGAUCUAAUUGCUAUAGAGCUUAAGUCCCUAUCGAGCAAAACAUUGAACUUCCCGCCUAUAUCUGAUCAAGCCAUAUGUGUAAAGCUAACAAAACUCCUAAAAGACAAGGAGCGCUGCGGAAAAAACAAAACUUGAAGGAAUUGCAAGGAAGAUGAGGACAUAUACAAACUACAAGUAUAGAGCAAAGGCCGCGUUGGCUACUCCAGCGGCAAAUCUGCUGGUACCAAUGGAAGCGGCUGUUUUCACACUUACCAACUCAGUGAUACUUGAUUGUUCGGGAAGUAUCGCGGACUCAUUCAACAACAAUACAGUUAUUCUUUGGGAGGAUUACAAUGGAACAUCUAAGAGAAAAAGGAAGCAUAACCCUACAGGCAUUGCAAAACGCCUUGUUACAAGCUCUAAGCGGUCGUCCCAUGGAACAGCAACGGUAUGCCACCAGCUUUUCGCUGAGUUCAUUGAAAUCCCAACGCCAUGUCUGUUAGGAAUCCACAAGGCUAUAUACAAGGAAGCUGCUUGGGUGAAGGAGUGCUUGGUAAGCAAGCUUCAACUUGAGAAGUGCAAUUUGACGGCAAACACCUUGAGAACGUUGAAUAUCAGGCCGUGGUCUUAAGAAUGAAUCCAAAGAAAUUAAAUUGACUGUUCUAAAAGAUGGGAAAGCUCAAACAAUCGCAGAAGGAUGAGUUCAACAUAUAGAUGAUUGUUGCCGAUACAAAAGCGUGAAUACCGGCCCGGCAAAAAGACACACGUUUU
rnacentral:sRNA from 1 species